CGAUUCCAAGAAGCCCAGCACUAUGUUAACAUCCCAAAACGAUGAAUACCUGGAUUUCGUAGGCCUAAAGUAACGAAUACCCUUCAACAAUCGGCAUACAAGAGAAUGUUGUCCAACCGGUGAUCUGUCAAUAUCAGAGAGGCAGAAAGGGGAUCCAGCAGUCUUCCCACGCACCAGCCAGACCACACACGCCAUGCAGAUUUGUAAGCUGUUCUGGUACCCGGUGCCCAGGCAUUCUCCAGGAGUCUUGUAGUACACCAGGGUCCCCCGAAAUCAACCAAACCGUGAGCUGGAGCACGUCCUGGUCCACCAAAUCGUGUGAGUUCCCAUCCGGAUCCAGAAGCACAUCUGGCCGCAUCUUGAUCAUCCGUGGGCAAUCCGUUGCCAUCUCCAAGAGACGUGGGAACCAAGGCUGAGUCUGCCAUAGGGGAACUAUCACUACCAGUGUACACUGUUGUCUGGGCAAGUACGCCAGUGUCCGAGAGAUCAGGUUGAAAGGGGGAAACGCAAAGUGACGACCCCAAGGCCAUGUCUGCAGGAACGCAUC